rnacentral:lncRNA from 1 species
UCCCAAAUCUGAAAUAUCUGAAUCUCUCAACGAAUUCCUUCAAAGGUAGCAUUCCUUCUUCAUUCGGUGAUAUGAAAAAUCUGCUCGUUUUGGACCUGUCAAACAAUGAACUCUUGGGAGGCAUACCUGAUAGCUUGGUCUCUGGCUGCAUUCUUUUGCAUGCUCUAAUAUUGUCAAACAAUAAUCUUAGUGGCGAAAUGUUUCCAAAGUUUUCUAAUCUAACCAGCUUAGAAAUACUGCGUUUGAAUGGGAAUCUCUUUCUUGGAGAAAUCCCAGAGAGUUUGCUCAACAGCUCAUACUUGAAGAGUCUAGAUGUUAGUUAUAACUCCUUAUCAAGUAAGCUGCCAACUUGGAUGGGAAAUUUGACUUAUCUGCAAACACUUUUGAUGGCCGGCAAUCAUCUUGAAGGACCGAUUCCCACUGAGUUUUGUUCAUAUGAGAACAUUGAAAUUCUUGAUCUUUCGCAAAACAAUCUCUCAGGCUCUAUCCCUUCUUGCUUUAGCCCAAUAUCCCUUCUCCAGGUAUACCUGCAUGACAACAAGUUCACAGGACCAAUAACAAAAUCCUUCUCUCAAAGCUCACUUUUGGUGACUUUAGACCUCAGAAACAACUACUUGACCGGAGGUAUUCCCAGUUGGAUUUCCAAUCUCAGUUUGAGCAUUCUUCUUCUGAAAGAAAACCAGUUGGAAGGAAGAAUCCCUGUUGAGUUGUGUCAGUCAUCCUUGAUGACUAUGCUAGAUCUUUCUCACAACAAUCUCUCAGGUCCUAUUCCUUCUUGCUUGAACAAGAUACCAUUCAAAAUAGGGUUUCGUUCGGGAAAAUUUCGUAUAGCUGUUUCUCUGGAUGGUGAUCUACAGUUGUCAGCCUAUUCAUAUCAAGGCAGCUAUAUAGAGUUACUUCAAAUACCUUCCUAUGCUAAACCUGCAUAUUAUGAAAUAUCCUCUGUUGAGUUCACAACCAAGAACAGGUCUGACUUCUACAGGAACAACUUUUUAUACAACAUGACUGGAAUUGAUCUCUCCUGGAACAAAUUGACAGGCAGAAUACCACCUGAAAUAGGGGAGCUAAAGCUAAUCCGUGCACUAGAUCUUUCACAUAAUGAAUUGAAUGGUUCAAUUCCAACAACCUUUUCGGGCCUAAAGAACAUAGAAAGCUUGGACCUUUCUCACAACAAGUUGACAGGAGCAAUUCCUCAACAGCUUACUGAGCUGACUGCGCUGGGAUAUUUCUCUGUUGCUUACAACAAUUUAUCUGGUAAAAUACCUGAUAAAGCGCAGUUUGGUGCUUUCGUGGAAAAUAGCUAUGAGGGAAAUUCUUUUCUUUGCGGGCCAACGUUGAAGAAAGACUGUAACCCAACUCCGGAACAAUCACCUGCGGGUCAUGAGGAGGGAGAGAACAGCUUUAUGGAGAUGCUGGCUUUUUACUUGAGUUUUCUUGUGGCUUACGUAACAGUGGUGGUGGUACUUACUGCUACUCUUUACAUCAACAUGGAUUGGAGAAACAAGUGGUUUCAUCUAGUUGAUGCCUGUAUCACUACUUGUCUUUGUAAGUUGACCAAUCAAAAUGAUUAGAAUUUCAUCAUUGUUUGAAAUAAAAUGCAGAGGGAAGCUGAAGGCAUGCAACAAUGUUCCAGCAAAUCACAGAGCCAAAUGAGUAAAAUCCCAUGAUAAAAAACUUUUGGUGAUUGAAGCAUAAUUAGAUACUAAACUUACAUUUUUUUUCUUGUUAAAAACAAGAGAGAAUUUUUAGAGAAGCAAAGAAGUAAGGGUAUGUCAGAGAUUGUCAUCCAAAUCAACUCAAACUUAUAUUUGUAAAAAGGUUUUUUUGUUGAGGUGAGAAAGUGUCGUAAACAAGUAAAGUAUGAUGUGUUGGGAGAUAACGGAGAAAAAUAUUAGAACAAACUUUAAAGUAUUAAUUACAGGAAUAGAGGGUGAUAGCUGGUAAAUGAAGGAUGGUAGAGAAGAAAAUGAGAUUGAAAAAAUGAUUUAGAAAGAGAAUAUGUGUUAUAUAUUGAGUGUUGAACGAGAAUAAUGAUAAAUAAUGAAAGAAUUGAUUGUGACAAAAGAUAUUGAUAUAUUGUUUAAUGAAAGUGUAAUUUACUUUUUUAUGAUAGACAUAAUAUUAUAAAAGUUUACUAUUUUUUUGAAAGAAAGGAAAAAACACUUAGGAAAAGGUUAAGAUGAAACUUCUUAACUAUCUUUUUAUUUAAUUCAUUAACUUAAAUUUUUAAAAAUAUUUUAAUAAUAGAAUUAAUCCAAAAAUUGUUAUCAUAUUUUAGGGUUAUUUUCACUUAUUCAUUUGAUGAAGUGUUUUUUGUUAAAUAAGUAAUUUUUGGUAAAAAAAUUUUUCAUAAAUAAUUAUUCCAUAAAAUAGUUUUCAUUGAAACAACCUUAUUAUAUUUUUUAAUUUAUUUACAAUUUUAAUAAUUUUAAACAAAAUUUAUAAAAAUAAAAUAUUAAUAAUCAAAAUCACAUUUCUUCAAUAUUUAAUUGAAAUUCAACUGAAAUCUAAAACCAUAAAUUACAAAUGAAAUCACCAUUCACUAGUCAUUAGAUGCAUUUAAAUGCUUGCAUUUGAAUUUAGUAAAAACAGUUCAUCAAAUACAAAUUUUUUUUUAAAUAGUAAUUUAAAUAUUUUUAAUCAAUGUUUAUAAACACCCGUUAAUCAGAUACACAUUCCAUGACACAACACUGGCUAGGAGAAUGCAGAUUAACAGGGAUAUUAUUGAUGACAUAUGAUGACCAGUCCAUCCAGGAAAUUCCUUUUUGUAAGUUGGAGAUUGGUGGGCUUGGUUGUAAAGCAAACAAUAAAGUGUUAGAUUCUAUAUUUUCCCCCACUUUCCAAAGAAAGUGACACCACGCCAAUGCAACGGCAUGACAUAAUUGGACAGUCCAUUAAACGUGCUUAAAUGGAAAGUGGCAUUGCCAUUUCCCUUACAAAACGUUGACCCGACGACCAAACCCCAAUAGAGAAAGAAAAAACAAAGAAAAAUGAUAAUAGUUGCAGAAAUGAAAAAAUAAUAAGAAAUUUCUUUCAUUUCAUUUCGUCACACCCAUCGGCAUAUAAUAGCUUUCCUUUCUUUUAUCCCGCUUCGAAAUUAGCGUUAAUUUCCUAAAAAUUAUUAUUAUUAUUAUCAGAUUGUUUUUCUUUGCUAAUCUUUUUGUUUGGUUGCUAACAAAAUUUUACAAGGAAAUAAUACAAAACCACAAAGUUUCGGCAACAUACACAACGUUACUAAGCAAUGGGACUGAAAAGAGAAUGGAUGUGACUGUCAUUUUCUUACUUAUUUUGACAUUUAUUUUCAGGGAAAGUAAAUGGAAGUGAGGCAAAGUAUGUGGUGGAGUUUUCAUGGCGGAUUGCUGGGAGGGUCUGUAGUGGAGGGGCAGAUUGGUGAACCUGUGCCAGUGGAGAUCGGUACUUCAUCCCUUGUUUCGGCUGCUGAGAGGACUUACAGAAAGGACCCACUUAAUGGGUUCAAGAGGAUGAAAUAUCAGGGAGCGCCAUUACUGGGCUGUAAGUUUACCAAAACCCAAGAGCCGAAAUGACCCAUUUUUGAUGAGUUUUUUUUUUUUUUUUUGACUUUUCUCUUUUCGGACAAGACCAUGCCAUGCACUUAUGUCCAGUUAUUUACCACUUGCCAGCAUAUGAUUACUCUUGGACCCUUGGCUCUGGUUCAAAUUUUCAAUGCUGGCACGUGGGUGAUUUUACAUUUACAUCCUUCAGAAUUUGUAUUUUGGCACGUGAGGGUAUAAUUUCUAGUCAAACAUUCUGGUUAAGGUCCCCCAUGCCCACCAUACACCCUUCUUUUUCAUCAGUUAUAUUUUUGUGGCAAAUGGUAGUGAAAUUAGAGAGUGGAUAUUGAAAAUACAGUUUCCAAUUGCAGUCCAGAGGAGAUAAUUUAUUUCUGUAGAUAUGUAUAGAGUUUUUUCUUUUUUGGCGAGAAAAAAAAAUGGAUAUGUUUAGCAUAACAUGGAUGAUACUAACUUUUUCAUUCUAAUCUAACACACAAUCAUAGCAGUAGUCCAAUACCUACAUUUAUGUUUGCAGAAAUGCUGAGCUGGUGCUAGAAAUAGUAUGCCAUUAGCCCAUUACUGCAGCAAUUUCCUUUUGGAGUAAUUUUUCCAUGCAUUUUUCAUUUAUGUAGUAGAUAUUGAAGCAAAUAGGAUUGAGACAUGGUUCAAGCUUUGCGGAACAAGGCAGGUCCUUGGUGCUGGAUGAUGUGAAGUUAAGAAUGUGACUUUGUAAGCAAGUUGAUUGAUUCUUAGGUAUACCAUAUCUGUCUUCCCUCGUGGAAGCUGGCGAAUUAUAGAUGAACAUGACAUCCACCAAAAAGUUUGGUCCUUUCAUACUACAAAAUUUUUCUUUGUACUUCGAUUUAGCUCUAGUGUUGCACUAAGGUGUUAUUUUUUUUUUUUUUGAAUAUUUUCAUUUUCGUACCCUUUUAUCCAUUUUCGUGUCCUAGCAGUUGGAUUAUAUGUAAUUGGCUAUAUUGCAGCUAGUCAGUAUCAGUUUAAGAUUUAUGUCCUAACUAAUCAGUUCCAUUUUUGUUUAAAUGCAGUCCGUGGCUUUUACUGCACUUCCUCUGUUUGCAAUUGCUGCAAUCUGGUUUGUUGGCUUUGGGUUAUGCUUAUUGCUCAUCUUUCUCUGUUGUUUCUGCUGUAAAAGGCAGCCACAUGGAUAUUCUAGAAUUGCUUAUGCAAUCUCUCUCAUUUUCCUGGUGUUGUUCACAGUUGCUGCAAUGUAAAUGCAUCUUUCUCUCGUGUCAUAUUCAUAUUGAAUAUUGAUGUGUCAUGAGUGUUCCUAAAUCCUAAUGCUUUGCUCUUUGGUUUUAGGCUUGGCUGGGUUGUCCUAUAUGUUGGCCAGGGGAGAAACACCCGAUGAAGAAACAAAACCUUUACCACAACCAGUGGAUCGAGGCAAAAGAAAAAUAGGAGAAGUUUCUAACCUAGAAAUUGAUGAUCUACUAAGAUUCUCAGAUUUUGUAGAAAACCCAAAAAAAUAUCAACCAGUUGAAACACAUCCUGUUGAUCCGAAUUAUUUCCCUAAAAAAGAGAAAAUAAAACAAACGUCAACUGUUGAGCAAAGCCAAACAAGCCAAACAAGCCAAACUCAACAACAACCUUCUUCCAUGAAUAUAGAUUUGUUAAAUAAACGAACUGUAGCACAAGGAGGAACUUAUUUAGAUCUGUCAAAAGUCUCACUUUCAGAAUAUGAAAAAAGCAUUGAUGAAUGGGUACAAUCAAUGUUUAUUGUAAUAACCAACUACAAAGACAUAUGGAAUAAAGAAAGGUUUCUUAACUAUUUUUGUGGAAUUUGGCAAGGUGAUGCUCUUAAGUUUCUCAAAAAAUGAAAAACUACAAAAUUAGGAAAAUCUCAAAAAGCAAAACUUUUUAAUACUACUACCAUUUCAGGACUUUUAAAACUUCUUACACAAAUAAAAAAAAAUAAAAUGUGUGGGAUGAUGGAAGAAAUUGAUGCUAUAGAUGAAGCUUGAUAUAUUCUUUCAAAACUCAAACUUUACAACGUCCUAAAUUUGGAUGAAUUUUUUAGAAAAUAUCUUUCUGAAUACCAAGGAUUGGAUGAAGAAUAUUCAAAGUUUUGGUUAGAACAAUAUUUUCAUAAACUUCCCUUACUAUGAGAUGAAUUAUGUGCUCAAAAUUAUUCUCUUUUUCUAAAAUCAAAGCUUGAUAAAUCUUCUUUUACAAAUCCUAGUAUACAACUAUAUGAUACUCUAAGAAGUAGAAUACAGUAUAUACAAAAUCAAGUUAUAGAAUACUGUUUGAAACAAUUGACAGCAAAACAGGUUAAAAGCAAACUUAGUCAUAAACAAUGUACUAAGAUUUUGAAUGAUGAAUUCAAUUUUGGUUGUAAUCAACAAUCAAAAUUUAAGAAACGUUUUAAAAAGAAUAGUUAUUCCAUGAGAAAAUGGAAACCAUAUAAACAACAUAUUCAACCAAAAAGGAAAUAUGUUGUAAAAAAGAAAAAAGAAAAAAAAUAAAUCAUAGAGCACAGACAAAACAAAAUGCAAAUGUUUCAUUUGUGAUCAAGAAGGUCAUAUAGCACCUAACUGUCCUAACAAAAGACGUAACGCUAAAAAUAUGAUCAAAACUCUUGAACAAUAAAAGCUUUGUGUAGCUUAUGCAGAAGAAAUAUCAGAUCCUGAAGAUAUCCUUUAUGAAAUAUUUUCAGAAACUGAUUUUGAUAUUUUUGAUAAUGAAUAUAUUUUUAUGAUUAACGAAGCUUCAUCUAAUCAAGAUACAGCUUCUAUAAGAUCUAAAUCUUCUUUAACAAAACCUGUUUCAAAAGAAAUGACUUUUCUAAAGAAUAUUAUGAGAAAAACUCAUAUUAUUUUUAGAAGAAAAACUUAAGCAACUUCAACUAAUAAAAAAGAUGAGAUUUACAAAACUAGCUAUUUUAAAGUUUUUAAAUCUUGGUUUAAACUCCAUAUAGAAAAAGUAUUAGCUAUUUUAAAGUUUUUAAAUCUUAGUUUAAACGCCAUAUAGAAAAAGUAUCUAGAGAUACAAUUACUAAUGAUUCUAAACAAGGAUUAAUAUAAAUUCCUCUGUUUUUUCAACAGAAAAUAAAUCAUUUUCUAUAAAAAUAUCCAAAAAUCAAAUAUUUUCAUCUCGAACUUAUUAUGAUUACAAUAAAACCUUUUCAUAUUUUUGGCAAGGAUAUACCCAUUCUUGCAGUUUUAAUGGACCAAAGAUUUUCUAAUACAAUAAAUGCAGUAGUUGCAAGAAUCCAAUCUAAUUUAGCAUCUGGUGUAAUUGCUUUUAAAGUAAAACCAAAUUAUUUUUUAUCAGUUUUUGAUCUUUUAAUAAAACAAAGCCUUUAUCUAUGUAUCAGAACAUAAAAUUUUGAUAUAGUUAAUAGAUCUCAUGAGCUUUCCAUAAAUUGGACAGCUAUAUAUGAAUUAUUAAAUACUAUAUUUAUAUCUAUCAAAAAGAUAGAUCCAAAGCUGAUUGAAAUUUUUGAAUCACAAAAAUUUAAAUUAGAAAUAAAGCCAAAAUUUAUGAAUGUACGAGACUUAUCCAUUCCUACUGGAUGGCUAUUACCUAACCUAAAAGAUGAAGACAAAAUUUAGAACCAAUCUAGUUCUAUAGAAUUUUUUUCAUCAGGAAAAAAAUCUAUAUUUUAAAAAUACAAGCAGAUACAAUCCAAAUUCUAGAUUAGUAUUACCUCCCUCAUUAUCUUCUAAUCAAGAAGAUGAUCUAGAAAGUCUAAAUAGCCAAACAUCCAUUGCUACUCCUUACAAAAAUUCUUUUUCUGGUUUUCAAACAAACUAUACAACUAGUACUUAAAUUUUUAUUUUUUCAAGAGAUAAUCAAUCUCAACCAUCAAAUUAUCAAACUGUUAAUUCUGUUCUAAAUUUUGUAACUUCUUCUAGAAAAACUAGAAUUAAAGAAACAAAAUCUUUAGUUUUAAAAACUGAUUUUAUCAAUUUCAGCAAUAAAAAAGCAACAAGCUUUUUUACUUUUAUUGAAGGAAAAUUUCGAUUUCAAAACUAUAAACCCUAUUCCCUUCAUAUAUUAUUAGACAUAGUAGCAACAAUCUCUAGUUGUCGAAGCAAUGCGUUACCAUUAAACAAAUGAGAACCAAUGAAACAUCUAAUCAUAGUAGUCAAAAUAAAGGGUAAAGAAACUCUUAUAGGUUACAAGGCAAAAAAUGUUCCGGUUUAUUUCAACAAUACUAAAUUUAUUAUUCCUAAAAUAUUAUGUUUUCCCCAUAUGCAUGGAGACGUGUUAUUAGGAAACAACUUUUUAUAAAAGAUUUACCUUUUUAUAUUUAUCCUGAUAAGAUUUUUCUUACAAUGGAUAACCAAUCCAUCAAAAUAAAUUUGGUAAAAGAACCACAAAAUAUUUGUGAUAAAAAUUUUCAACCAAAAUUGUUACAAUCAUAAAUCAAAAUAAUCAGUAAAAAAACAUUGGUUAUACACUGUUUUAAAAGAAAAUUUCUCAAAAUAACCUUUAAAACUUUUGGGAAGAAGCCCUCGUUUUUGUUCUCUUAAACUUAUUGAUCUUUUAAAGAUCAUUUGAGUAAAACCAAUGAUCUAUACCAAACAAGAUAUAGAUGGAUUUGAAAUACAAAUUUUUGAACUAUUGAUAAAAGGGUUAAUUGAACCAACAAUUACCCUCAUUCAAGUCUUGUAUUUUUUGUUAGAAACCAUACAGAAAUUAAAAUAGAAAAGCCUCGUAUGGUAAUCAAUUAUAAGAUGUUAAAUCAAAAUUUAGUCUUUGAUAGAUAUUAUAUUCCUCGAAAAGAUAUUUUGAUAAAUUUAGACAAACAUGCUAAAUAUUUUUCCAAAUUUGAUUGUAAGUCAGGUUUUUGGUAGAUUAAACUUGAUAUUAAAUCAAAGCCUUUAACUGUUUUCAGUGCAUCUACAGAACACUGCCAAUGGACUAUAAUGCCAUUCGGUCUUUGUAAUGCACCUAAGAUAUUACAAAGAUGGAUGGAUCAAAUUUUUGCAAAACAUAAAAAAUUUUGCUAUGUUUUAUAUCGAUGAUAUUUUAGUCUUUUCCAAAACCUUGGAUAAGCACAGAAAAAAUCUAAAUCUUAUAGCACAAGAAUUCAUUUUACAUGGCAUAAUAUUCAAUUCUAAAAAGAUUCAGUUAGAAAAAACUCAAAUAAAAUUUUUAGGAUUAAAGCUUUCAACCAAUGGUCUUGAACUACAAGAUCAUAUCAUUUCUAAAAUUCAAGAAUUUCCAGAACACUUGGAAACUAAAAAACAGUUACAACAAUUUUUAGGCAUCUUUAAUUAUGGACGAUAGUUUUUUAAGAAUCUCUCUAAAAAGGAGAAAGUUCUCCAAGAAAAACUUCGAACCAAUUCAGAAUUUUCUUGGAAUAAUUCUAAUACUGCUAUUAUUAAACAAAUAAAAGCAAAACUUACCGACAUUCCAAAAAUAUAUCUUCCUACCUAAGGAGAUUUAUUGAUAUUAGAAACAGAUGCGAGUGAAGAAUAUUGGAGUUGUGUUUUAAAAGCAAAAAAUUUUCAUAAAAAAGAUGAAUUAAUUUAUGAUUAUAAUUUUGAAAAAUUUAAACCCAAUGAAAUCAAAUACUUUAUUUUCGAAAAAGAAUUAUUAGCCAUGCCAUUAAAAGUGCAGUUACUUGAUUUCAUAUUUUUCUUGCACCAGAAACAUUUAUAAUAAGAACUAAUAAUAAAUCAGUUCAAGACUUUCUUAAAAAUAAAAAAUUAUUUGAUAAUCUAAAAAGAAUAAAAUGGCAUAAUUUUCUAUGUCAAUAUAGCUUUAUCAUCGAGUUUAUUAAUGGUGAUAAAAAUUUUCUUGUAGAUUAUCUGAGCAGACCCAAUGGAUCGUGAUAAGCAAUCUCAACAGGAAGGAUGGCGAACUAUACAAAAGAAGCAAACUAAAAAGGUUUCUUUUUCUUUCUCUUUUUCUCUUCACUUUCAAAAUAAUCCUAACCCAGGAUUAUUUAUUUACCAACCUCAUGGAUACUUACCUCAUCAACUUCCUCAAUGACCUUAUCACGAUCAUAAAAAUUAGCCAGAUUUCUCUUAAUUUGCUUAGGAUCCAAAUCAAUAGAUUCUUAUGUCUUAUUCCCAGAUAGUCUCAUCUACACAAUAAGUGCGUAAAGAAAUUCAAACUUUUAAUCCAAAAAUCAAAGACUUUUAUAAUCUUGGACUUCAAUCAGAAGUCUAUGAUUUAUUAAACCAUGUUUGGAAAUCCCAUCUCUUACAAAACAAAACUCAAUUUUGAAAAAGGAUGACUGGAUUGGUUGAGUUUUUGGUUACUCAAACAAAAAAAUUUCAAAAAUUUCAAGAAGCUGCUUUCCAGAGUCUUCUUGCAUCUAACAUGUUAAAACAACAGGAUAUAAAUUUCUUUGCUCUGGAAGAAAAUCAAUAUUCUAUACAAGAAAUAAAUAAUUUUUUGUCACUUUGUGAGUAUUUUGAAAAACAAAAUUCUCCAAAAAUAGGAAAAUUAUACCAAAUACUUCUUUUCAAAAAAGUUACUGUAUUUUUAACCAAAGAAUUAUUCCAGCAAAUAAAUCUCAGCAUUCUUCAACAAACAAAAAAAUUAUUAGUUGAAAAAUUUUCAAAAUUCUAUUUUGCAACAUAUAUUUUUACCACAGAACUUAGAGAACAAAUCCCUAAACUUAAAUUUAGAUUAAAUCAUGAUCCUUUCGAUAUAAUAAGUAUCAAAUUAGGAAUUGUUUGUGAAAUCCUUGUUCAAAAUUUUCUUUUGAACUUAUCAAAUACUUCCCAGCUUUCAUUAAGCAUCAUUUUCACCAAAUGACAAAAUAUGUCCGACGUUUUUUCUAUAUUGAUUUUCAGAUAACCAGUUUUCUAAGAAUCUUUCAAAGAGAAAGAUUUUAUCAACCCUAUCAGAUUUGGAAAGCUCAAAAACUUCAUACAAGAACUCUGUUGGAACCAUCAAUGGAUUCAUUAGAAAACCCGAAUGAUUUAAACAAAAUUAUUCAAAAAUAUUCAAAUUCGUCGCACUGCCAAUUUUAAAUAGGAAUUUCUACGAUCGAAAAGGCAAAAACUUUGCUUGAGAUGGCCACUAGACAAAAUUUUCCUAGAACAGCUGCCUGGACGGAUGGCAAAAGAAUUUUUGUCCUAACAUAUUAUGCUCCACAUGAAGAUUUGAAAAUAGAAUCUGCACCAAAGGCCUUAAAGCUCCUGCAUCAGCUUUCAACAAUGAAAGAUCUUGAUCACCCUCAAGAAAUUUUUUUCCAAUACCAAGAAGGUUGACGGAUGUGGAACAAGUCCAGAAAAGUAUCUCCUCAAUCCUAUAAUCUAGACGAUGAAAAAUUUUAAAAUCUGGAUAAUAUACUCGAAGAAUAAGUUGUUCUAAAUCAGAAUAAGCUACUCUUUCAAGCUAUUGACAGAAACAAACAAAGCUCUCUACAACAUUAGAUCAAUCGAUAAAAGUUAUUGUAGCAUCAUUAGAGCAGAACUGUAGUUAUCACUUUAGGAGCACAAAUAAUAAAAUCUUCUACAGUAAAAGAUAAGCACAAGUUGGUACUGUUUUCUUCCUUUUUUCUGCUAUAAAUAAAGGGGGUCAUUCCUAAUAAUGCCAGAGGCUUCCAUCCUAGCUACCUUGCUUCUUUCCUAUCCUGUUUCUGUACCAGUAUCUCCUUAAAAACUUGUAAAACAACUUGUAAAAUUAAAAGAUCUUUUCCGCAUCUUUGAAAAUGGUAUCAGAGCAUAUAUUGUAAAUCAGGCAGUUACGAGUAUCAGGAAACUAAAGGAUAUGUCAGACUCUCUUGCGUCAGCUAAGUAGAUCGGAGUUGAUAAAAAUUUUUCUACCUUCUAAUGUCCAAACUGAUAUUGAUGAGAUAGGAGCAAAAAUUAAUUCUUCUGGUAGCACUCUAGUUGACAAAACAGUGGAUAAUUCAGAUGAGAUCUCCUAGAUUCUGUGUAAGUGAAGGAUUCUGAAGUUUACCUAUAUGUUUUAGUGCUUCCAAGAAAAGCUUUCAUUAAAGAUGUAUUUCAAUGCUGCUACAGGAGAGUGGCUCUUAUUGCAAUAGCUGCUAUUAUGCUUCUAUUGACAUUUCUUGGAAUCUGUAAGUCCCUGUGGUUUCUUUUGUAAGAAUUCGCGAAAGUUCGUUUUUUCAGAAUUUAGAAAGUUUGUGACUUCAUUUAUUUGUGCAAUCUAAUUUUGUUUAAGUAUUCUCAAUUUUUGGGAUGCAGCUUCUUGUUUACAUGUGAGUAAGAUGGAAUUUCAUUCUCCAGUUUUUUCUCUGAUUUUGGUUGGAUUCAACGAGGAUCUUUCUUAACAGAAGGGUUUAAAACUAUAUCUGUUUCAGCCUGGUGAUACUAGGAUGGAUGCUUGUCACUGGAACAUUCCUUGUUCUCCAUAAGUUUUAACAUAGCUCAACCUAUAUUCCUUGUGAUGUUUUGUUUUUGAUGUGCUAGUGUAGCUGCAGAUACUUGUGUUGGAAUGCAUGAUUGGAUCCAAAAUCACACUGCUCAUAUGGCUUUAGAUGAUAUACUGCCUUGCGUGGACAAUGCUACAGCCCAAGAAACACUGUUGAAAAGCAGGGAAGUUACUUCUCAGCUUGUUGAAGUUAUUAACCAGCUCAUAACUUUCCAACCAUGUACUUCAAUCAAUCCGGUCCAUUGGUGCCGGUACUCUGCAAUUCUUUCUUUCCUGACCUUACGGAUCGAAUUUGCACUGCUGGUGAAGUGAAUGCAGAUAAUGCAACAUAGGUAAAUUCAUUGGACCCAGCAACAUCAAUGCAUUAUUAUUAACAUGCAAACAAACUUGGACUGAGGCAGAAAGUAGGCUGCCAAGAAUUUCUGUAUGUUUUCUUUUGUUUGCAAGAUCUGGACUUAUUUUACAGUAAGAUAUUAUCAUUUACUACAGGUAUGGAGGCACUAUGUCUGUCAGGUUUCUGCAACUGGAAUAUGCACCACAACAGGACGAUUAACUCCGGCCUUCUAUGACCAGAUGACAGCUGCGGUAAAUGUGGGCUCUGCAUUAUAAAUUUAUGCUCCUUUCGUUGUUCAGCUACAAGACUGCACAUUUGUGAGGGAAACUUUUACAGGCAUUUAUGUAGAACACUGCCCUUGUCUACGGCGGUAUAAUAGAUGGAUCUAUAUAGGGCUGGCAAUGGUCUCAACUAGAGUUAUGCUCCCUUUAAUCUUCUGGGUAAUGUAUGGGCGGGAGAGACGCCAUCGCCUUUAUACAAAACAGUUAAGUGAAGGUCCUGAAGCAGACAGAAGCAGACAGAGACACUUGAAAGAAGCUUUUCUUUCACUUUGUGUGCUGGAAUGGGAAUGGUUGUUUCUUUGCAGUUGUGGUCCGCAGCUUCACUCUAUGUUGUAAGUCCUUUAGUGUGGUUUGUCCAUAUAAAACUGUAACCAAUCCACGCCAGUAAUCAAAGAAUCCAGGUCCAUAAGUGGGUUGUACCUUGUAGUGUUAAAAGACUCGCAUGAUCAGAUUGAAAGGAUUUGUUUCGGGGGAAUUUCAUUACAUGUAGACUUUGGUUAAAUUCCUUCCAUGCCAUGAUGAUUCGUUUCAUCUUUUUUACUACUUUCUUUCCACAACCAAAUGAGGGAGAACUUCAAUUUCUGUUUGUUGAUCCCAUUUCAAGAACCAUGUUAAUAAGGCCUUCAAUAAACAAAAUUUCCUAUACUUACCGCAUUAAAAUAUUAAAUUAUUAAGAGUAAAUGUUUUAUAAAAUUAAUAAAACUUAAACUUUGAAAUUCAUAUAAAAGCCUUUUUCAAUAAUUAAUUAAAUAUAACUCAUAAAUUUGAGAAUUCCGAAAAGCUGCGAAAGAUAAUGUUACGUACAUCUAACUGUUUAUUGAUGACACUUUUGAAAAAUAAUAGAAUUAGAUGAUUUCUUUAUUAGGUUAAAAAAUUGAUAUGAGAAGUGUGUAUAUUUUUAUGCUUAUAUAAACACCUAUGCGCUCUCUCCAUUGGUGCCUACUAUUAUUAUAUAUAUAUAUAUAUAUAUUAGUAUAUUACCUUUCGAUGUCCAUCUCACAUAGGUCCAUGUAAUUAAUAUAGGGCUGGACCACUCGAGAAUUUGUCGAUUUGAGGGCUAAUCCAAAGGUCUGCAAAAGCAACUUCUAUAUAAAUCAAUGUCUUCUUUCUCAGCUGCACAACCAAUAGAUUCUUUAAAACCAUGAAGUGGAUUUUCUGGCUUUCUUUUCUUUUUCUUUUUUUUUUGGGAUAAAUUGAAUUUUUACUCAUUCAAAAUCAACAAAAAUCUACUACAAUAUAAUUGUUUUAUAACUCAGCAAACAAAGAAAUAACAAUUCAUUAACAACUUAUUCUAAAAAUUUUACAUUUAAAUUUCAAUCUUCAUUAAAUUUUUUUAUUUAAUAUAUCGCUUGUAAUAUAUUUCAAUUCAUGCAAUCUGUAUCUUAUAAUUUCUUUACUUUGUCUACCAUUUGUGCAGUCGUUAUCCCCCUUUGCUUGAAUAUCUUUUGAUUCCUUUCUCUUAUAUGAAAUAUAUACAUCCGUUCCAAGUCAUUUUCAAUAGAAUUGAAAUCAAAGCUUUCUCUUUUGAUUUGUUUUUUGCCAAGCUCAGAUCUAUGUCUCAACUUCAUACUCUUCUAUUAAUGAUACAUAGCUGAAGAAUCUUUUGUUAAAUUUUUUUUUGAAUAGACACACUCAAAGUAAAUAUGAUCUUUUCUUUCAUCUUCAUUGUUACAUAAAUUAUAUUUACAAUCAAAUUUUAUUUUUCAUGAUUAUAACGUAUCUUUUAUUGAAAACCUAUUUAAAAUCAUCAUUCACGUUAUUAGUGAAUGAUUUAGAAUAUAAUACUUGAAUCAUAUUAAUUUUUACCAUCUCACUUUUCGUUGCUGCGAUCUGAUCUUUUUUCAUUCUAUAACAGUGUGAUAAUGUCCUUUUGAAAAUGACCGUACUUCCGCUCCGUUUUAUUUUUUGAUGAAAUUUUACGCAAUCUGUCUUAUUUGAAGCAAUUUCCUCCAAUACCACGGCGCUGGCUUUCUUUGGUCCUGGUACAGUUAAACGAUUACCAAUGCUUUGGUUGCCAUGAGGAAGAGAGGCUUGCUCUUUUGAAACUCAAAACAUCUUUCUAUCCGGACGAGAGCUAUGCUCCUUCUUCUUGGGAGGAUAACGAUAGUGACUGUUGUGGUUGGGAAAAUGUGGUGUGUGACAAAGAAACGAAACGAGUAAGUAAGCUUUUUCUUAACAGCUCAUGGGAUCUCCGUGAAGUCUAUGAAGAUUUGUUUCUGGAUGCCACCCUUUUUCUUCCAUUUAAGGAUCUGACUUCCCUAAACUUGUCUUCAAACAUGUUUUCUGGUUUGGCUGAUAAUGAUGGUACUAGAAACUUCUUUUUUUCAGUUUAUCAUUUCAGAAUUCUGUCUUUCUGCUGUGAAAUAGGAAGGAGGUUUAAAUAUUCAUUUUUUUUCGAAUUCUCUUCGUUCAACAGGCUUUGAAAGAUUGUCUAAACUGAACAAGUUGAGAUUCCUUGAUUUGAGCGGAAGUUACUUUCGUGACAGCAUCCUUGCACAUGUUGGAGCAAUCUCUUCACUUACUACUUUGUAUUUGGCUAAGAACUUAAUGACCGGAGUGACUCAUUUGCAAGGUAUGUUCAUUCUUCCAUUUUACUCUGGAUCCAAGAAUCUCUUAUCUCAUGUAACUUUGCUCAUGUCAUGAUAAUUGUUCUCUGAAGAACUGGCUGCUCUGUCUAACUUGGACGAGUUGGACUUGAGUGAGAAUUUGUGAGAAAGCUUCAUGGAGAUUCAAGGUACACCACCAAUGUUUAAUUCCAUUUGGCACUUGAUGGUUUCCUAGUCAACCUUUGGUUUAGCUGAUUUCUAUUUCAGGUCUUAAAAAAUUGAGCAAACUGAAAGUCCUGAACCUAAACUCAAAUAAGCUCAACAUGAGUACUUUACUGUCUCUUGGGAAUCUCCAUUCGCUCAAGAGGCUUUAUAUCAACGAUAAUAGCUUGGAAGGAUCCAUUACUAUUGAAGGUAUGCACAACUAAAAAAAAAAUAAGGGCAGCCCGGUGCAUAAAGCGCUCCGGCUAUGUGCGAGUUCGGGAGGGGUCCAUUGUACACAUGUUUUAUCAUACCUAGAUUUUUCCACCUUCCUUCCUUUCUAGGACUUAACAGUUUGAGAAACAUGGAGGUCUUGGAUGUCUCUUCCAGUAAUAUUAGCAGCAACUUUCUUCAGGUUUUAGACUACAUGAUAGGCUUAUACUUGCGUGAUAAUACUCUCAAUGGCACCACGGAUUUGCUUGGUAAUUCUAGUUGUACUUGAAAACCAAGUGCUUUAAUUGAAUUAAAUUAACAAGUAUUUAUUAUAUUAACUUUGUUUUCUAACAAUUUUGGCAGGCUUGUGCAAACUUAGGGAUCUUGAAGAGUUGGAUCUCAGUCAUAACAGUUUCAAAGGCACAAUCCCUUCCUGUGUUGAAACCUUGACAUCCCUUUGAGUUCUGGAUAUCUCUAGAAACAGGUUUUCGGGGAACAUCAGUUCAUCUUUCAUCUCUAGCCUCAUUUCCCUUGAGUUUCUUUCCCUUUCUCACAAUGUAUUCCAAAGUUUGGCCCCAUUUUCCUCAUUUGCUAACCAUUCUAAGCUUGAGGUCUUUGAGCUUAUCCGUGAUAACAAUGGAUUAAUGGUUGAAAUCGAUGAUCAUAAUUGGGUUCCACGCCUCCAACUGAAGAUCUUCCGUCUUUCAGGCUGUUCAGUUGAUGAAGGAUCCAUGUUCAAAUUUCUUUCUUACCAAUAUGAUCUUAGAGUGAUUGAUCUUUCUGAUAACAACUUGGAAGGAGAUUUCCCUACUUGGUUGAUGGAGAAUAAUACAAGAAUGGUAGAGCUAUAUUUGAAAAAUAAUUCUUUCAAAGGCCAAUUUCCUCUUCCAUCUCGUCCUAGCACAUUCAUCUCCGUUGUUGAUAUUUCCAGCAAUCAGCUUCAAGGACAUAUCCCAUCAAACAUAAGUGUCUAUCUCCCAAAUCUGAAACAUCGGAAUCUCUCAACGAAUUCCUUCAAAGGCAGCAUUCCUUCUUCAUUCGGUGAUAUGAAAAAUCUGCUCGCUUUGGACCUGUCAAACAAUUAACUCUUGGGAGACAUACCUGAUAGCUUGGUCUCUGGCUGCUUUCUUUUACAUGCUCUAAUAUUGUCAAACAGUAAUCUUAGUGGCGAAAUGUUUCCAAAGUUUUCUAAUCUGACCAG